UUGCAGAAUUCCGCGAAUCAUCGAGUCUUUGAACGCAAGUUGCGCCCAAGGGCAUUGUCCAAGGGCAUUUCCGCUAGAGCGUCACC
rnacentral:rRNA from 1 species